UGAGGAAUAUUGGGCAAUGCCCGCAAGGGUGACCCAGCAACGCCGCGUGGAGGAUGAAUGUCGUAAGAUUGUAAACUCCUGUUAGAGGGGAAGAAUAGUACCGGUUGGACCGGUAUAUGACUGUACCCUCAGAGAAAGCCCCGGCUAACUACGUGCCAGCAGCCGCGGUAAUACGUAGGGGGCAAGCGUUGUCCGGAUUUACUGGGUGUAAAGGGCGCGCAGGCGGGAUAAAAAGUCAGUGGUGAAAUCCUGCAGCUUAACUGUAGAACUGCCUUUGAUACUUUGAUUCUUGAGUUCGGGAGAGAGAGACAGAAUUCCAGGUGUAGUGGUGAAAUACGUAGAUAUCUGGAAGAACACCAGUUGCGAAGGCGGUCUCUUGGUCCGACACUGACGCUGAGGCGCGAAAGCGUGGGGAGCAAACA
rnacentral:rRNA from 1 species